rnacentral:rRNA from 1 species
AGCGAACGCUGGCGGCAGGCCUAACACAUGCAAGUCGAACGAACUCUUCGGAGUUAGUGGCGGACGGGUGAGUAACACGUGGGAACGUGCCUUUAGGUUCGGAAUAACUCAGGGAAACUUGUGCUAAUACAGAAUGUGCCCUUCGGGGGAAAGAUUUAUCGCCUUUAGAGCGGCCCGCGUCUGAUUAGCUAGUUGGGGAGGUAAAGGCUCACCAAGGCGACGAUCAGUAGCUGGUCUGAGAGGAUGAUCAGCCACAUUGGGACUGAGACACGGCCCAAACUCCUACGGGAGGCAGCAGUGGGGAAUCUUGCGCAAUGGGCGAAAGCCUGACGCAGCCAUGCCGCGUGAAUGAUGAAGGUCUUAGGAUUGUAAAAUUCUUUCACCGGGGACGAUAAUGACGGUACCCGGAGAAGAAGCCCCGGCUAACCUCGUGCCAGCCGCCGCCGUAA